rnacentral:tRNA from 1 species
GGGGUUGUGGCUCAGUGGUAGAGCACUCACCUAGCAUGUGUGAGGCCCUGGGUUCGAUUCUCAGCACCACA